rnacentral:rRNA from 1 species
CAACGCCACGAGUGGCAAUCACAAUUAUUGGGCCUAAAGCGUUCGUAGCCGGUUUAAUAAAUCUUUUGUGAAAUCAUGGGGCUUAACUCCAUGCCGUGCAGGAGACACUAUUAGACUUGGAACCGGGAGGAGUCAGAAGUAUUCUGGGGGGAGCGGUAAAAUGUUGUAAUCCCCGGAGGACUACCUGUGGCGAAGGCGUCUGACUAGAACGGAUUCGACGGUGAGGAACGAAAGCUGGGGGAGCAAACCGGAUUAGAUACCCGAGUAGUCC